CCUACGGGAGGCAGCAGUGAGGAAUAUUGGUCAAUGGCCGAGAGGCUGAACCAGCCAAGUCGCGUGAGGGAAGACGGCCCUACGGGUUGUAAACCUCUUUUGUCGGGGAGCAAAGAGAGUCACGUGUGACUCAUUGAGAGUACCCGAAGAAAAAGCAUCGGCUAACUCCGUGCCAGCAGCCGCGGGAAUACGGAGGAUACGAGCGUUAUCCGGAUUUAUUGGGUUUAAAGGGUGCGCAGGCGGAGGUGCAAGUCAGCGGUAAAAUUGCGGGGCUCAACCCCGUACUGCGGUGGAAACGGCAUCCCUUGAGUGCGCGAGAGGUAUGCGGAAUGCGUGGUGUAGCGGUGAAAUGCAUAGAUAUCACGCAGAACUCCGAUUGCGAAGGCAGCAUACCGGCGCGCAACUGACGCUCAUGCACGAAAGCGUGGGUAUCGAACAGGAUUAGAUACCCGGGUAGUC
rnacentral:rRNA from 1 species